rnacentral:snRNA from 1 species
CUCGGCCUUUUGGCUAAGAUCAACUGUAGUAUCUGUUCUUAUCAGUUUAAUAUCUGAUACGUCCUCUUUCCUUUUUAAAGCAUGCUGUCAAUGACUUGAAGUCUUCUACUAGGCCCAAAUUCUU